rnacentral:lncRNA from 1 species
UUUUUUUUUUUUUUUUUUGGUUUUGUGUCUUAAUUCUUUCAGGGUCAUCGCCAGGAUGCUUUUCCUCCGGCCAGGUGGAGCCAGCAUCAGCGCCUGCCAGCAGCAAUUCCCUUCAAUAGCCGAGGAAGCACUUGGGGCUUGGCCAGGGAGGCCGCUCCUUGCUUGCGGGGCUGACUUUAGCCUCCACUACUCUCCCGCAUCCAUCUGCGUGUAUAUUAUCCCCAUCCCUUUUUAUUCCAAUAGAUCCGCCUUUGGUUUGGACUGGCUGAAACGCGGCGGACUGCAACCAGGAUCCUUUAAAGGAGAACAAAAAGAUGAGGAUAUUGUGCGGGGGUUCCGGGACAAAGCGUCUUGGGACGCGCGGAACUCUGGCUCCCCGAUUGGAGAGAUCAACGCUGCCCAACAGUACCCGGCCGGACCUGCGGACCUCUGAGCGAGAGGACCGCAGCAGGAGAGUUCCGGAAGGCUGAUUCCCACAGAUCCUGGUAAGGGACCGCAGCAGCUCUGCCCUGCGGCACGCCCGGCCAGGCUACACCCGGACCCUACACUCAAGGAAAAAGCUUGGAAACGAAAGGAUGCGGGAGAACAAAGAGCCUACGGAGGACGUGGCUGUUAUCUCAUUGUCUGUGACUGGGGGAGCUGCGGUAGGAAGGAUGCGGUGGUCCUUAGCUCAUCGCGUUCCCCAACCCCACACCCUCCCUGCUGUCAGUGCGCACGCACACGCACGCGUCGCCAGCUUUUUCUUUCUCAUCUCUCA